UUGGGUUAAGNCCCGCAACGAGCGCAACCCCUGUGAACUGUUGCCACCGAGCCGUGAGGCUCGAGCACUCUGUUCAGACUGCCCCGCUCUAACGGGGAGGAAGGUGGGGACGACGUCAAGUCAGUAUGGCCCUUACGGCCUGGGCUGCACACGUACUACAAUGCCCAGCACAGAACGAUCCAAGACCGCGAGGUGGAGGAAAUCACUAAAACUGGGCCCAGUUCAGAUUGAAGUCUGCAACUCGACUUCAUGAAGCCGGAAUCGCUAGUAAUGGCGUAUCAGCUACGACGCCGUGAAUACGUUCCCGGGCCUUGUACACACCGCCCGUCACAUCAUGGGAGUCGCUUGUAGCCGAAGUCGGCGCGCUAACCGCAAGGAGGCAGCCGCCUACGCUAUGAGCGGUAACUGGGAUGAAGUCGUAACAAGGUAA
rnacentral:rRNA from 1 species